UCUAUGUAAAUAUCUGAUUAUGACAGUAUUUGCUUAUGUCUUGACCAAAUCACGUGCCAGCAGUCGCGGUAAGACGUGGAAGAUAAGUGUUAUUCAUGUUUAAUAGGUUUAAAGGGUACCUAGACGGCUAAUUAAACACUUUAAUGUAUUAAUUAACUAGAGUUUGAUAUAAGAAGGUUUGAGUACGGUGAGUGUAGAGAUAAAAUUCUAUUAGACCAUUAUGGAACUGGUAAAGGCGAAGGCAACCUUCUAUGUAAAAACUGACGUUAAGGGACGAAGGCUCGUAAAAAAAAACAGGAUUAGAUACCCUGGUAUUCUGGGCAGACAAUGAUGAGUGUCAUAUGCAANAAAAAAAUUUUGUGUAUAAACGAAAGUGUAAGCACUCCACCUCAAGAGUAACAUGGCAACAUGGGAACUGAAAUCAUUAGACCGUUUCUGAAACUCGUAGUGAAGUAUGUUGUUUAAUUUGAUAAUCCACAAAUAACCUUACCACAACUUGAAUUACUUUAGUUAGCUGAAGUAACAAGCGUUGCACGGCUGUCUCCAGUCAAUGUUGUGAAACCGUGGUUUGAUCCAUUGAAUUGACGUAAACCCUCACUCCACUUACUGUGGAGUGGUUCGCCGCUAUAUUGGUAGUGAUAUAUGGGACUAAGAUAAGUCAUCAUGACCUGAACGUUGUGGGCUAUA
rnacentral:rRNA from 1 species